GGCCAUAAGCCAACGCAUCACCGAGUUUGCAUCGUUUACAGCUGGGACUACCCGGGUAUCUAAUCCGGUUUGCUCCCCCAGCUUUCAUCCCUCACCGUCGAACGCGUUCUGGCAGACCGCCUUCGCCACUGGUGGUCCUCGGAGGAUCAGAGGAUUUUACCCCUACCCCCCGAAUACCGUCUGCCUCUCCCGCUCCCUAGCUUUGUAGUAUCUCCAGCAGCCCACCUGUUGAGCAGGUGGAUUUAACCGGAGACUUGCAGAGCCGGCUACGGAUGCUUUAGGCCCAAUAAACGUCCUGACCACUCGAGGUGCUGGUAUUACCGCGGCGGCUGACACCAGACUUGCCCACCC
rnacentral:rRNA from 1 species